rnacentral:lncRNA from 1 species
AAUGGUCGGAACCAAGCAACUAGUCCCCCGGGACUUGAAAAAGAGGUUUCAACUAUCAAUCGUUGCCCUUAUGUUGAGGAGAUUUGGAAGCACUUGCUGAAUACCCUCCUAGCCAGGGGAUCCCCCUUGCCCUUGCAAGAUGAGGCCGAGUAGGUGAUGCACCAUUAUCCGGGGCAUGGUCUCAUUAGCUCUAUUACGAAACUGCUUUUUUUUGGAAAACCAUAUAUAAUACUUGGAGGGAGCGAAAUGCCCGGAUUUUCAAGCAAUCUUAUAAAGCCGCAAGGGAGCUUUUUUACCAGAUUUACGCAUAAAGAAAAGGUAGGAUUUCAGCUUCCAAGUUGAAGUACUCUAAUUCGACCCGUGACCAGCAGAUAUUAGCCAGAAAGGGCUCCUUCCCCU